GACGAACGCUGGCGGCGUGCUUAACACAUGCAAGUCGAACGGAAAGGCCCUGCUUUUGUGGGGUGCUCGAUUGGCGAACGGGUGAGUAACACGUGAGUAACCUGCCCUUGACUUUGGGAUAACUUCAGGAAACUGGGGCUAAUACCGGAUAGGAGCUCCUGAUGCAUGGGGGGGGAUGGAAAGUUUCGGCGGUUGGGGAUGGACUCGCGGCUUAUCAGCUUGAUGGUGGGGUAGGGGCUGUCAAAGGCUUUGACGGGUAGCCGGCCUGAGAGGUGGACCGGCCACAAUGGGCCUGAGAUACGGAGCAGACUCCUACGGGAGGCAGCAGGGGGGAAUCUUGCGCAAUGGGCGGAAGCCUGAUGCGGCGACGCCGCGUGCGGGAUGACGGCCUUCGGGUUGUAAACCGCUUUCGCCUGUGACGAGGCGUGAGUGACGGUAAUGGGUAAAGAAGCACCGGCUAACUACGUG
rnacentral:rRNA from 1 species